CAAAGUGUGUUUGAGGUGGGAAUCAGU
rnacentral:piRNA from 1 species